GGAUAAGUACUUUGCUAUCAAUUAAUAAAGAAGGAAGGAACUCAAAACCACCUACCAUGGAUUAACCUUGAAAAUCUGAGGGGCAAAAUGACUUGUACCCAGGAGGUCUAAAAGAGCAGGCUGAAGAGGUCUGUGGCCUGCUGGCAUUAAGCUGUUGGAAUCUAAAGGGACAAGCAAGUUCUUUAAAUUUUUGCAGUAACUCACUUCUCUUGGUGAGUUUCAAAUUGGCCAUAGCCCUCUUGGCUUUCCCUAUGAAAGGAUGCCCUGAAGUGCGAGGAGAUGAGCAGAUAAAUGCAGACUUGAGAUUGUCCUUGCCUGGAUGAUCCCCCACCCCCAUUUCCCAAACCCUCUGCAAGGAGUAAAACCUGGUCCUGAGGAUGAGUGGAGAGUUCUGGGAUAGAACCCCUUUAGCAUCCCAUUAUCUCUGCAGAAGGACAGUUUGUUCAAGCUUGAACUCCACCAGCUGAGCACUGACCCUGCCAGAGAAUUUCACCUGGUCCCCAUCUGACUGAAACUAGCUGGUGAGCCAACAUCUAACAUUUUUGUGAAUUUCACAGGUUUGUAUUACACAUUCACUAGCCAAAUUCCCACUACUGUUUGACUGCCUAAACAAAAACAGUUGCUGCACCUUGUGUCUCUAAACCUUGUCCCCUUAACUGUGUGUCCUGUAUUUCCCAAACUGUGAUGCAGUUUCACUAGACAUUUAUGAUGUUCUGUUCUGAAUAGUCUUGCAUUUUUAACAGUCUUUCCACCCCCCUCUUUCUUCUCUGUAUUGGUGUUUCAUAGAACUGCU